rnacentral:lncRNA from 1 species
CGGUGGUGGGUCAGGUGACUGAGGUUAAUAAGGACACCUUUUGGCCCAUUGUUAAAGCUGCCGGUGAUAAGACUGUCGUCCUCGAUAUGUACACUCAGUGGUAACAAUAUCAUUUCCCCCUUCAACUUUUUCCCUCCUUUAAAUUUUGAGUACUUUCCAAUUGAUCUUGUUUUAAACUUUCAUUUGUGAAUCAUGGAUUUUGAAUUCUUACCUAAGCCUGUUGUGAAUUGAAAGAUGGAACUUAAAAUAGUGGAUUUUGAAAUCCAUUCAAACUCGAAUCCUUCGUCAAAACCAAAUCCAUCAAUCCAAAUGCAAGCUCUGUAUAAUUUAGCUCAGCCAUUUUUUACUAGGAUCGAGGAUUUCAUGUUCACUUGGGGUCCGUUUGAUUACAGAGAUGGAAUUGAAUUGAAUUGAAUUGAAUUGAAAACGAAUUUCAAGAAUUUAAUUGCCUAGAAAUUAUUUUCUUGAGAAUUGUAAAUUAUGGGUUUGAUUGGUAUAAUUUUUCACGUGGAAAAUGUUGAAAUAAAAUUGUUUUUUAGUGUUCGUUUGGCUUUGUUUUACAUUAAAAUUGUCGAUUAAAGGGAUAUAAUUUAUUGGUAUUGGGGAUAAAUUUGUUUCAAUUGUCAACAAAAAAAAAAAAAUAAUAAUCAAGAAAAUCAACUAUCUUUUGGUGUUCGUUUGACUUUCUUUUCCAUGAAAAUUGUUAGUUAAAGGGAAAUAAUUUUUUACAAUAAUUUUUAGAAUUUGUUUUCACUGCCCCAAAAAAAAAAUAAUAAAUAAAUAAAAUAAAAAUCGAAAAAAAUGCUACAGUUACCUGGAAAACGAAUUCUCACCAAUAUGAUGAGAAUUCGAAUUCAAGAAAAAGCUAGAAAAUGCUGAUGUGGAGGCCAAAGGUGGAAAACGAAUUCCUUGGAAAAUUUUGUCAAUCAAACAAGCCAAAAGUGGAAGUUGAAAUUUGUUUUCCAUUUUCCCUAGAAAAUAAGUGGCUAUCAAACAUAGCGUUAUACUCUCGUAGUUUUCCAUCCCUAGGAACCUCUGCUUCUGGCUGCUUAUUUGAGAAUUUUGACAGAUAAUCUGGAGGAGAAAAAAAUCAUUACUCGCAAAUACUUUUAUAUGGGAUCAUCGAUACACAUUCUUGAUUAUUCUAUAAAAUUUUCCAAUGUGAGAUUGUCAGCCAUAUUCACUAUGACAUGGAGUUUCUUACUAGUGCAUAAUUAUAUGCACUUUGUUGGUACUUGGUUCUCAUCGUUAUAGACACUUGUGUGUGUGAAUUCUUGCUCAUUCCAAUUUAAUGCCUUGUCUAGUAGAAGUUUUAUGUUAAUCAUAGCAGGCCUAAUGGAUGAUGUUUAACCAUUUCAUUUAAAAGGUUAAGCCGUUAAUAUUUAUUUCAUUAAAUUUCAUCUUCGUCUCAGCCUUUAAUGUGUAGACUAGAUUCAUUUUUUAUCGGAUGCUUUAUGUGUGCACAAUAUAAUAAUGGAUUUUGAGAGACUUGAAGAAGGUACGAGCCUGCUUUAAUACCGUAUUGAACCAGUUCAUUCAAAAGUAUAAGAGUUUAAGCUGUUAGAAAGACACGUAGUUAUUCAAUUAAAUUUAGUAUUCAGCAAUUACAUCAUUGAGGAAUCCUAAUUUAUGCGCGCUUGGUGGUAGAUCAAGAGCUGAAAUAUUGAGGGCUGUUGGAUAGUUGUAAGUUGUAACAUCUGGUGCAAAUUAGGAAUCUACAAGAUUGAAAUAUUUUGCUUCCCUUUUCAAAUAACAUUUUUGCUUAGAUCAAAUUUUCUAUUUGAAUUUUUACUUGCAGGUGUGGUCCUUGUAAGGUGAUUGCUCCAAAAUUUCAAGAAUUGUCUAAGGAAUAUCUUGAUGUUGUCUUCCUAAAGUUGGACUGCAACAACGAUAACAAGGUUCUCUCUCUCUCUCUCUCUCUCUCUCUCUGUGACACAAACGUGCGCGCGCACGCAACUGUGGUCUGAUCUGAUAAUUUCUUGACAGCCACUGGCAAAGGAGUUGGGAAUUAAGGUGGUUCCAACCUUCAAGAUAUUGAAGGAUAGCAAGAUAGUUAAAGAAGUUACGGGAGCCAAAUUCGAUGAUAUAGUUGUGGCAAUCAAUAAUGCAAGAUCCCGUUAAUAUGCUUUCGCUUCCCCGCCCCCUCCCCCUUGUAAACUGUAACUUGGUUAUAGUACAUACAUGAACUUAAUGGAAUUGAUUAUUAAGAACCUAC